GGGUUUCACACAAGAUGGUACGGUUUCCUUAGCAUUUCUACAACAUAUUUAAAGCUAAAGGAGAAAUAAACGUAGCUAGAGACCGAGGCAGAUGUCGUGCGUACGUGGAUGCGUGCGGAGUGGCCGUGGGGAGAAGGAGAGAUAAAAGAUGCCCUCCCAUAACGUGAAGACACACCAGGAACCACCACUUUCGGCUCUGUCUUUUUUUAUGGGGUCAAAUCUGGAUUAUUAGACUCUUGAACAUUGCAGCGUGGCUCCAGUAUUGGGUGCUCUCUCUCCUCUUGAGUCCUAUGGGUGCUGUGGGAUGAGGUAGUAGUUUGUAUAGUUUUAGGAUCACACCAGAUCUGGGAGAUAACUAUACAGUCUACUGUCUUUCCCACGGACCUUAACUUCUGCAGAUGAGCCUGUCAGAGGAGACUGGUCCUCACAUAGUCCUGGUUUAGUCCUGCUUUAGCCCUGGUUUAGUCCUGGUUUUGGUGGAGGAGACUGCAGCCUGUUGCCACGGUUACUGUAGGCUCGGUUGCCAUUGGAGACGAGAAGGCUUAAAUUAAAUCAAGAGUUGGAAACAUCAUUCAGAUCAUUUAAACAUCUUACUCCUAAUCGCCUGUUGUUAAUAAUAAAAAUCUAUUUGUGAUCAUAUUUUGAUGGUAAUAGAAUCGGGGCUUGUACACAGCCUCUUCCAGUCACUCUUUGUACUUUGACACUGCAUUAUUCAUUCACUUGUGAGUCACAGGAGGAGGAUGGUGUGCUCAUAUUAGGCCUGUGUUCCUGUAGUGAUGAAGUCUGUGUGUUUUAUACUCGGGGAUAUCGGUCUAGUCCAGGAUUGAAACAAGUUCAUCCAUUAAGCGCAGCUUGUGUUGUGAAAGUGUUUUUGUCUGUUCUGUGGUGAGGUAGUGAACCAGUUGUGUUUCUGUUGUUAUUUUUGGAUAUAUUUUUUGUCACGAGGCAGCUCUGUGGAGAGCAGGGCUGUAUUCAACUAAAGAAACCCUUGGUGGACUAAAGACGUGUUGCCAAUCGAUUGGUCGACGAAAAAGGGGGCGUGGCUAAAGCUCUCAAAACUACUGAGGCAAAACUGAUGUGACCCAAACCACACUCGGCAGCACACCUGCAGAGGAAGCUCAUGCAAAAACUACUAUUUAUAAAAACAACUAUUUAUAAGCGUACAGUGCGCCGUACUGAAGUACUGACGUGUAUUUAAAUGAAAAAAACGCAGAUGAAUCUCCUAAUCUUUAACUAGUCUACUACGUACCUCACUGCUGCUGCUGUGUCCUGUACACGUCCUCCACAUGGAAAGAACAGAAUCAUAAGUCAACUUCGAUUAAGAUGCAGACAAACAGUCAACUGUUUAAUCGUUUAAAUGACUCAGUCUUCAGCCCAAGUGUUCUGGCUCGGUUGUGAUGUUCUAGUUGUAUUCUGCUUGUGUUCUGGUUGUUCUGGUUGUGUUCUGGUUGUGUUCUGGUUGUGUUUCGGUUGUGUUCUGGUUGUGUUUCGGUUGUGUUCUGGUUGUGUUUCGGUUGUGUUUCAGUUGUGUUCUGGUUGUGUUUCGGUUGUGUUCUGGUUGUGUUCUGGUUGUGUUUCGGUUGUGUUCUGGUUGUAUUUCAGUUGUGUUCUGGUUGUGUUUCAGUUGUGUUCUGGUUGUGUUUCGGUUGUGUUCUGGUUGUUUUCUGGUUGUGUUCUGGCUCAGUUGUGAUGUUCCGGUUGUGUUCCGGCUCUGUUGUGUUGAGGUAGUGAGUUGUGUUGUUGUGGGGUGUUUGAUUCUAACCCCAGUUCUGGAGAUGCAACAGCACGACCCUCUGCCUUCCACAGCUCAGCUCCUCUCUCCAGAUCAGGCUUCAAAUGUUUUCCAACUGAAAAGUCCAGAUAGCCAAACUUAUUCACUCUGAAACGUUUGUCCCAUUGACAGAAUUACAUUUUCUUUUGCAUUGUUUUAGUGAAAUGUUAUUGAUGUUUUUGUAAUAAAUAAAAGAAUGUUUUUUACAUUUAAA